UUAAAUUGAAGAGUUUGAUCAUGGCUCAGAUUGAACGCUGGCGGCAGGCCUAACACAUGCAAGUCGAACGGUAACAGGAAGCAGCUUGCUGCUUCGCUGACGAGUGGCGGACGGGUGAGUAAUGUCUGGGAAACUGCCUGAUGGAG
rnacentral:rRNA from 14 species